UACGUAGGGUGCAAGCGUUGUCCGGAAUCACUGGGCGUAAAGGGCGUGUAGGCGGGUAGGCAAGUCGGGCGUGAAAUCCCUGAGCUCAACUCAGGAACUGCACUCGAAACUGCUUAUCUUGAGUGCCGGAGAGGAAAGCGGAAUACCUGGUGUAGAGGUGAAAUUCGUAGAUAUCAGGUGGAACACCAGUGGCGAAGGCGGCUUUCUGGACGGUAACUGACGCUGAGGCGACGAAGACUAGGGGAGCAAACAGG
rnacentral:rRNA from 1 species